rnacentral:rRNA from 1 species
GAUGAACGCUGGCGGCGUGCCUAAUACAUGCAAGUCGAGCGAAUGGAUUAAGAGCUUGCUCUUAUGAAGUUAGCGGCGGACGGGUGAGUAACACGUGGGUAACCUGCCCAUAAGACUGGGAUAACUCCGGGAAACCGGGGCUAAUACCGGAUAACAUUUUGAACCGCAUGGUUCGAAAUUGAAAGGCGGCUUCGGCUAUCACUUAUGGAUGGACCAGCGUCGCAUUAGCUAGUUGGUGAGGUAACGGCUCACCAAGGCAACGAUGCGUAGCCGACCGGAGAGGGUGAUCGGCCACACUGGGACUGAGACACGGCCCAGACUCCUACGGGAGGCAGCAGUAGGGAAUCUUCCGCAAUGGACGAAAGUCUGACGGAGCAACGCCGCGUGAGUGAUGAAGGCUUUCGGGUCGUAAAACUCUGUUGUUAGGGAAGAACAAGUGCUAGUUGAAUAAGCUGGCACCUUGACGGUACCUAACCAGAAAGCCACGGCUAACUACGUGCCAGCAGCCGCCGUAA